GACGAACGCUGGCGGCGUGCUUAACACAUGCAAGUCGAACGGAAAGGCCCUGCUUUUGUGGGGUGCUCGAGUGGCGAACGGGUGAGUAACACGUGAGUAACCUGCCCUUGACUUUGGGAUAACUUCAGGAAACUGGGGCUAAUACCGGAUAGGAGCUCCUGCUGCAUGGUGGGGGCUGGAAAGUUUCGGCGGUUGGGGAAGGACUCGCGGCUUAUCAGCUUGUUGGUGGGGUAGUGGCUUACCAAGGCUUUGACGGGUAGCCGGCCUGAGAGGGUGACCGGCAACAUGGGGACUGAGAGACGGCCAAGACGCCGACGGGGGGCAGAGGGGGGGAAUAUGGCCAAAGGGGCGGAAGCCUGAUGCAGCAACGCCGGGUGGGGGAUGACGGCCUUCGGGUUGUAAACCGUUUUCGCCUGUGACGAAGCGUGAGGGGGGGAAAUGGGGAAAGAAGCACCGGCAAACUACGU
rnacentral:rRNA from 1 species